UACGAAGGGGGCUAGCGCUGUUCGGAAUUACUGGGCGUAAAGCGCACGUAGGCGGGUUGUUAAGUCAGGGGUGAAAUCCUGGAGCUCAACUCCAGAACUGCCUUUGAUACUGGCAACCUAGAGACUGGAAGAGGUUAGUGGAAUUCCCAGUGUAGAGGUGAAAUUCGUAGAUAUUGGGAAGAACACCAGUGGCGAAGGCGGCUAACUGGUCCAGCACUGACGCUGAGGUGCGAAAGCGUGGGGAGCAAACAGG
rnacentral:rRNA from 1 species